AGAGGCGCCCGCCCGAGGCCGCCUGCCCGCACCCAGGCUGGACGGCGGCCCGGGGCCACCGAGCGCAGGGAUCCCCCCGAGCGGUGGAAGGAGUGCAGCCCAGCCCUGCCCGAGAUGUAUUGCAGGGGAGUCUGGACAUUUCAACCACACCGAGAGUCCCUAGAAGAUGUGAGCCGGAG